rnacentral:rRNA from 1 species
UACAGAGGUGGCAAGCGUUGUUCGGAAUUACUGGGCGUAAAGGGCGCGUAGGCGGCCUUCUAAGUCAGACGUGAAAUCCCCCGGCUUAACCUGGGAACUGCGUCUGAUACUGGGAGGCUUGAGUAUGGGAGAGGGAUGUAGAAUUCCUGGUGUAGCGGUGGAAUGCGCAGAUAUCAGGAGGAACACCGAUAGCGAAGGCAGCUCGCUGGGACGGUACUGACGCUGAGGCGCGAAAGCGUGGGGAGCAAACAGG